rnacentral:tRNA from 1 species
ACAUCGGUGGUGUAGUGGUCAAUACGUUUGCCUGGUAAACAGGAGGGCGUGGGUUCGAUCCCAGCCGAGGUA